GAAUCGUGACACAAAAAAAAUCCUCUUUAUCUCCUCAUCUUCCUCGACAGUUUAGAUUUAGGGUUUCUCCAUCAAAACUAUUCACUUCACAACCACAAACGUAUCCUUUCUACUUCUCAAAUUAAAUUCAUAAACUGUUCAUCUUUCUCUAUCUAUACAUCCUCCAGUCUUUACUCAGCCUAUCAAUAAUGGUUGGGUUUCGAAAUUCUCACCAAUAAAUAGUUCAUCACAGAACGAGCCCUUCCUCUACCUGCUUCUGUUGCUCAAGCCGUCCGCCACUCAACUUUUGAGGCUCUUUGACUUGCCUGGACUUCUCAAUUCAUUGUUGCUCGCCUCCUCAGCUUCUGGGAGCAUCAGACAGCCUGUCUCAGCUUCUGGGAGACGCCGGACGUCAAGAAAAACGCAGUGUGGGUUUUGUCAAGCCAGAGCCAAAUCGGCAGACAUCUCCAUGCGCUGGACAACGACAUCAAACUUCACGCUCUGCCGGAGAAACAUCACAUGACACAGCCAGAGAGUUGGAACCAUCACACGCCUUGGAGGAAGACGAUGGUAAUGGAGAGUCAAACGCAAACACUGGUGUGGCUUUAGUAUGGAGAGGUUCUCAGAUGUGACUGAGGAAGAAAGAAGGAUCUCGAUUCCAUAUAGUAUAACAUCUAACUUUGAAAGAAAGCUCACGAGCACUCAUUCACCGUGAAGCCUGCUUUUUCUGUUGGGAGUAAUCUGAAGCCUUCUGCUGCAAGAAAAGAACUCAAGUGUCCUUUGGUUUCUACUAGGGAGCGGUUUAAGUGGUGUUGGUUUCAUGUCGGUGCAACUACACAAGUAGAUAUCUAUUGCUGUGGUUUUAGCCAUGUUUGUGUCUUUAUUCUCUUCAGAUCAUUUUUUUUUUGUUGGAUCCGGAAUCAAGGUUGUUUUUCAAUGUGUUUAAAUUAUAAACAAGAGAGAUGUGAAGUAUUUUUAAAUUGUGUACA